rnacentral:rRNA from 1 species
UACGUAGGGUGCAAGCGUUGUCCGGAAUUAUUGGGCGUAAAGAGCUCGUAGGCGGCUUGUCACGUCGACUGUGAAAACCCGAGGCUCAACCUCGGGCCUGCAGUCGAUACGGGCAGGCUAGAGUUCGGUAGGGGAGACUGGAAUUCCUGGUGUAGCGGUGAAAUGCGCAGAUAUCAGGAGGAACACCGGUGGCGAAGGCGGGUCUCUGGGCCGAUGACUGACGCUGAGGAGCGAAAGCGUGGGGAGCGAACAGGA